AACGCGAAGAACCUUACCAAGGCUUGACAUAUACGAGAACGGGCCAGAAAUGGUCAACUCUUUGGACACUCGUAUACAGGUGGUGCAUGGUUGUCGUCAGCUCGUGUCGUGAGAUGUUGGGUUAAGUCCCGCAACGAGCGCAACCCUCGUUCUAUGUUGCCAGCACGUAAUGGUGGGAACUCAUGGGAUACUGCCGGGGUCAACUCGGAGGAAGGUGGGGAUGACGUCAAAUCAUCAUGCCCCUUAUGUCUUGGGCUUCACGCAUGCUACAAUGGCCGGUACAAAGGGCUGCAAUACCGUGAGGUGGAGCGAAUCCCAAAAAGCCGGUCCCAGUUCGGAUUGAGGUCUGCAACUCGACCUCAUGAAGUCGGAGUCGCUAGUAAUCGCAGAUCAGCAACGCUGCGGUGAAUACGUUCCCGGGUCUUGUACACACCG
rnacentral:rRNA from 1 species